AGGGGGAUACGUGUGGUGCCGUCCGCUCCCCCUAUGGAAUAACUGACGCACCAC
rfam:Small ruminant lentivirus isolate SNCR5484 gag protein gene, partial cds; and nonfunctional pol protein gene, partial sequence.